CAGAAAAUAGUUUAAUAUAGAAUUCUAGCUUUGGGGGCUAGGGGUAGGAAUUUGAGUUUCCUUUUUCUGA
rnacentral:tRNA from 1 species